rnacentral:rRNA from 1 species
CGUAGGGUGCAAGCGUUAAUCGGAAUUACUGGGCGUAAAGCGUGCGCAGGCGGUCUUGUAAGACAGAGGUGAAAUCCCCGGGCUCAACCUGGGAACUGCCUUUGUGACUGCAAGGCUGGAGUGCGGCAGAGGGGGAUGGAAUUCCGCGUGUAGCAGUGAAAUGCGUAGAUAUGCGGAGGAACACCGAUGGCGAAGGCAAUCCCCUGGGCCUGCACUGACGCUCAUGCACGAAAGCGUGGGAGCAAACAGGAUU